GCAGGAGUUUAGAAGAUCGAGGCGGGGACCUCAGUGAAACUUACCGAUUAGUGAAAGGCCUGGAUAGAGUGGAUAUGGAGAGGAUGUUUCCACUAGUGGGUGAGU